rnacentral:rRNA from 1 species
UGCCAGCAGCCGCGGUAAUACGAAGGGACCUAGCGUAGUUCGGAGUUACUGGGCUUAAAGAGUUCGUAGGUGGUUGGAAAAGUUGGUGGUGAAAUCCCAGAGCUUAACUCUGGAACUGCCAUCAAAACUUUUCAGCUAGAGUAAUGGAGAGGUAAGUGGAAUUCCUGGUGUAGCAGUGAAAUGCGUGGAUAUCAGGAGGAACAUCAAUGGCGAAGGCAACUUACUGGACAUUUACUGACGCUCAGACACGAAGGCUAGGGUAGCGAAAGGGAUUAGAUA